rnacentral:rRNA from 1 species
GGUUUUUUGUUUUUUAUUUAAGAUCAGGCCUGCCCAUUGAUUUUAAAGAAUUAAAAGGCUGCGGUAUUUUAACUGUACGAAGGUAGCAUAAUCAUUUGUCUUUUAAUUGAAGGCUAGCAUGAAUGGUUUGAUGAAAAAUUUACUUUCUUUUUUUAAUUUAAUUUAAUUUAAUUUUUUAGUUAAAAAGCUAAGAUUUUUUUAUAGGACGAGAAGACCCUUUAGAAGUUUACUUUUUUUAAAAAAUUAUUUUUUUGGUUUUUAAAUAUAUUUUUUUUGAAGAAAAAGUUUUGUUGGGGCGACAAUAAAAUUUAUUUAACUUUUAUUAUUUUUAUUCAUUUAUUUAUGUUUUUUUGAUCCAAAAAUUUUGAUUAUAAGAUUAACUUACCUUAGGGAUAACAGCGUAAUUUUUUCGGAGAGUUCAUAUCGAUGAAUAAGUUUGCGA